UGAUGUGCUUGCACGUAAUUGUCGGCAGCGUACAGCGAAACUUUACGCGCGCGCUUUUGCAAUCAACCGACCUGCCGCCGGCGUACCGGCCGGUCGAAUCCGAUGACGCUUUGCGAAUGGUUCCUUUGGUUUCGCUGCUGACCAGGUGCGACACGAAGCGAAUGGAACGGUCUGGGAUACUUUUCGGAUGCAGUGCACAACCGAACUCCAACGCAAGCUUCUUGUUUCCCACGAAACCAGACGGGAGUUUCUUCCUAUUGCGGUCGGUACAACGACAGCAACAAAAAAAAGGAAGUAGACAGUGCAAACACCUUGGGUAAGGGUUGCAACCCCUUCAGCCCCAAAGGAGCUCCUGUAGCCUGUGUACGUACGGAUCAUCAAACUUAGAAGCAUAAAUAAUUCAUCCCAACAUGCUAAACUGCAGACGGAGCGUAGUUGUUCCACUUAGUGCCUCCCAACUCCCGACGUAAUCACACCCGCCCGGCCCGGCCUUAAGGACGAAGUGGGGCGCGUUUCGGUUGUAGCGUGAAUCGGUGGGCGAGGUGCGGCCCUGGGACAACAUGCGACAAGCCAUAGCAUCGAGAACCAACCGGCACGCACCGAUACAGAGAGACAGCCGGCGAUUUCACAACACAUGAUCAAUCGGGCCCAUGCCCGUGACACUACAGCAUGUGCGGCACUAUUCGUGAACUUACGGAAACAUUUUAUUUGCUGUUUUUUUUUUUUUUUUGGUAAAAAGUGGCAGUUAUCGAGAGGCUGUCUUAGCAGACAAGUGAACUUUUGGCAGUUUGUAGUUCGUAAAAAAAAGCCAAGGUUAUGUAAAUUUCUACCGAAAAUUGUCGUCCGAUAUCGAUUUAGGGUUUGAUUUAUUGUUAUUGCCCCAUUACGGUUCCGCAGCUAUUGAAAUCAAUACCGUAAUUUACAUAACUACGGUGGGUAUUUCAUAAACUAAGGGCAGGAAAGAAUUAUUCAUUUAUUCAAAAAUAAAUAAAUUAAAAGGCUAUUUUGUAAAAGUGUUCUAAACAAACAAAUAAAAACGAUACCUUCCUUUACGUGAAA